CGGGUGAGUAAUGUCUGGGAAACUGCCCGAUGGAGGGGGAUAACUACUGGAAACGGUAGCUAAUAUCGCAUAACGUCGCAAGACCAAAGAGGGGGACCUUAGGGCCUCUUGCCAUCGGAUGUGCCCAGAUGGGAUUAGCUAGUAGGUGGGGUAAUGGCUCACCUAGGCGACGAUCCCUAGCUGGUCUGAGAGGAUGACCAGCCACACUGGAACUGAGACACGGUCCAG
rnacentral:rRNA from 1 species